rnacentral:rRNA from 1 species
AGUGAACGCUGGCGGUAGGCCUAACACAUGCAAGUCGAACGGCAGCACAGAGGAGCUUGCUCCUUGGGUGGCGAGUGGCGGACGGGUGAGGAAUACAUCGGAAUCUACUCUGUCGUGAGGGAUAACGUAGGGAAACCUACGCUAAUACCGCAUACGACCUACGGGUGAAAGCAGGGGAUCUUCGGACCUUGCGCGAUUGAAUGAGCCGAUGUCGGAUUAGCUAGUUGGCGGGGUAGAGGCCCACCAAGGCGACGAUCCGUAGCUGGUCUGAGAGGAUGAUCAGCCACACUGGAACUGAGACACGGUCCAGACUCCUACGGGAGGCAGCAGUGGGGAAUAUUGGACAAUGGGCGCAAGCCUGAUCCAGCCAUACCGCGUGGGUGAAGAAGGCCUUCGGGUUGUAAAGCCCUUUUGUUGGGAAAGAAAUCCAUCUGGUUAAUACCCGGGUGGGAUGACGGUACCCAAAGAAUAAGCACCGGCUAACUUCGUGCCAGCCGCCGCGGUAA